rnacentral:piRNA from 1 species
UGACUGAUGCUGUGGGGUUUUGGGG